GACGAACGCUGGCGGUGUGCUUAACAUAUGCAAGUCGAACGGAAAGGCCCUGCUUUUGUGGGGUGCUCGAGUGGCGAACGGGUGAGUAACACGUGAGUAACCUGCCCUUGACUUUGGGAUAACUUCAGGAAACUGGGGCUAAUACCGGAUAGGAGCUCCUGCUGCAUGGUGGGGGUUGGAAAGUUUCGGCGGUUGGGGAUGGACUCGCGGCUUAUCAGCUUGUUGGUGGGGUAGUGGCUUACCAAGGCUUUGACGGGUAGCCGGCCUGAGAGGGUGACCGGCCACAUUGGGACUGAGAUACGGCCCAGACUCCUACGGGAGGCAGCAGUGGGGAAUAUUACACAAUGGGCGGAAGCCUGAUGCAGCAACGCCGCGUGCGGGAUGACGGCCUUCGGGUUGUAAACCGCUUUCGCCUGUGACGAAGCGUGAGUGACGGUAAUGGGUAAAGAAGCACCGGCUAACUACGUG
rnacentral:rRNA from 1 species